rnacentral:tRNA from 1 species
AGGCUUGUAGCUCAGGUGGUUAGAGCGCACCCCUGAUAAGGGUGAGGUCGGUGGUUCAAGUCCACACAGGCCUACCA